rnacentral:tRNA from 1 species
GUGUGGGUGUCAGAGGAGUAUGAGUUAUGUUUAGGACUUAAGAACGGCGGAAACCCUCCACACU